CAGUAGCCGCGGUAACACGUGAGGUGCGAGCGUUAAUCGGAAUUACUGGGCGUAAAGCGUGCGCAGGCGGUUAUAUAAGACGGUUGUGAAAUCCCCGGGCUCAACCUGGGAACUGCAUCUGUGACUGUAUAGCUAGAGUACGGUAGAGGGGGAUGGAAUUCCGCGUGUAGCAGUGAAAUGCGUAGAUAUGCGGAGGAACACCGAUGGCGAAGGCAAUCCCCUGGACCUGUACUGACGCUCAUGCACGAAAGCGUGGGGAGCAAACAGGAUUAGAUACCCCUGUAGUCCCUGUCUCUUAUAC
rnacentral:rRNA from 1 species